AUAAAAUAUAUAAUUUCACAAGCCUAGUCACACAAUUUGUUUUGAAGUGAAAGAAUGAUAUUAAUUUAAAAAAAAAACUACCGUAUGACCUGAGAUCCAUUUGCAUUAUAUAAAGCACUUGACUUCAACUGAGGAUUCACCUUCAUUUUCAACCCAUAAAAAGGAAUAUAGCAAUAUGAAAGACAGUACAAAGUGGCUUUUUUUCGGAGUGGCGUUUGUGUUAUCUACGUUGGAGUUUGGUCUCGUGUUUUCAUUUGGAGCUUUAUUUUCUGUUAUACGUGAUACAUUUGGAACCGACAGACCAACCACAGCAUCCGUGCAAUCCGUAUUGAUGGGGGUAGCCACGUGCUUUUCUGCUGUAAGCGGUGUUUUGAUCAACAAACUUGGACUGCACGUCGUCAUCUUACUCUCCAGCAUCUGUGUGACAUUAGGCUUUGUUACUUCGUUUUUCGUGACGAAGAUUUGGUAUUUGUAUUUCACGAUAAGCAUUCUGGCAGGAAUUGGAAUGUCGCAGCUUUACGUAAUCUCAAUAACUUUAGCUGCAACAAUACAGAACAAGAAACAAAAACUUUUAGGAAUUGCUAUACACAGUACGUGUGUUCCAGUUGCAGGUUUGAUUUACCCUCAUCUUCUAGAUUUGUUGACUUCAUCAUAUGGUCUAUGUGGUACGUUUUUGAUUCUUGGUGGAGUAUUUUGCAUUAAUAUGUCUUUUCAUUAAUGAUAUGGCUCCGUCGUAGUGAAUUUGUCAUAAACAAUAGCAAGGGUACCGGAGCAGUAAAUGGAAAAUGUCUUGAGGAAACAGGCGAAAAAUCUAAAGAAAAAUACCUGUGUAGACAUGUGAAAAACUUCAUAAAAAAUUGAUGACAGUGCGGUAUAUUUGUCUUCUUACUGCCACUGCCGUUUCUAUGUCAACCUUGAACGGAUAUCUUGACUUUGUUUUUGAUAUAUCAUACUGGAAAGGAUAUAAUGAAGUGCAUGCUAGGAAUGUAUUUGUAAUUUACAACAUUUCUACAAUCGUUUUCACUUUGCUACCUGGUAUUUUGAAGUAGAAGUUAGAUAUUGACACGUAUUAUUUUCCGUUCAUGCUGGCACUAAUCGGACUAGUUGGCAGUGUAGUUAUCCGAUACUCAAAUAUUUUUGUUAUGUAUGCAAUUGGAACAGCUUGUAUAGGAGCGAUCCCUGGUGUUUUAGCGUCUGCUUUUAUCAUAUGUGCGCAACGUGUACGCCUUGAACAAAUAAGUGUAGGCAUUGGAAUGUUUGAUACAGUAAUGGGUUUCUUAUCAGCUGGAACUGGACCUCUCUUCGGUGUAAUAAGGGACAAUACUGGUUCAUACAAUGAUGCGUUUACAAUAAUUUCCGCUGCCCAAGGUAUCGCUUCUGCCCUGUUUAUUUUGGACAUCAUUAUGCGAAAACUUUGUCGAAAUUCAGCAGAACACGACAACAACGCAGUGUGAAAAAUAUUACAGAAUAAUAGACUACAAUUACUAGAGAAUCAAUUUACAAAGCAUAUUGCUAAUCGCCUUUUCCAGUUUUGCAACAAACUUGUUGUGCCAUUCAUAAAGAAAAACAAAUCGUUUGCCAAAUUAACUGUUUAGUUGGACAUUUUCAGUGUUCGUUUACUGAUUUGAGAGACCACUAUAGGACAAGAUUGUGAACUAAGCAGUCUUCAUGCCGAAGAGGACCACUUUCUUUCCCGACUUUGUUGCUAAAACAUAUUUGUUAUGAAAAAGUAACUAAUGAGUUUUUUCCGGUCACAGGUCGGUCAGUUUUUAGUUUGACUUCCUUUAAAAUUUACAGGGAAGAACUGAAUAUAAGAAGAGUUUUCAUAGGUCAUUUUAAAAUUACAAAAUGAAAUCAUUUGCCAUUCUAAAAUAAAAUGUAAAAGAUACUUUUGUUAUUCUAAGAUAACUGGCAUGAACAAGGAUAAUUCUUGCCGUUAUUAUGUAAAAUGUAAAGGAUAGUUUUAAAGUAAAAUAUACAGGUUAGUUCUUUAACUUUGUAGUGAAAUUGCUCAGAUAUUUAAGUUAUGCCUAACAAUUAUUGUUCUUGCAUUAAGAUCUCAUUGCAUUUUCUAGUGAACAGUAUAUUGAAACGUAAGCACUUACUGACUUUAUUUUACACAAGAUCUUAGUUUUAAAGUUUGUCCAAGAAUAAUAUCAGAACUUAUCAGGUACCCCUAGCUGAUAAUGUUCAAUAAGUGUCUUAUAUAUCAUAUGAUUAUUGAUGUGUUCCAUUGAUAUAAUGUUAAUAAAUUUAUAUAGUUUUGCAUAUUAAUCAAGUAUUCAUAAAAAAUGCUGACUUGUUGUUGUAUAAAACUGAUACAAAAAUUAUACUCCCAUUGUCAAUAUUUGUAUUAUAAAAUUUAUGUUAUGUUAUGUUAUUAUAACAAGAUAGUAAACUUGUAAUUUUCUGUUUUUAUGUGCAGAACGUUGUACAGUUUACUAAUAUAAAGUUUUAAAUGCCUUUUGAAAAGUGUUAAUUAUAUAUCCAAUGCAUUAACUUGCAAUUUAAAAACAUGUAAUUUAGUAGAAUUUCUGAGAGUAUAGCAGUGCUUGGUUCUAGGAGGAAUAUAACAUAUUAAUAUAAUAUAUAUAAUAUAUAACUUUGCUAAUCUUUGAAAAAAUGAAGUCAUCAAACUCGAGUAAACCCCUGCAUAUUUGAUGUAUCAAGUUGCUAGACGAAUUGGUUACAUGGUGAUGAGGAGAUGGGUUAUUAUGGGAUUGCAGUACGGUGCAUCUUCAUGACAAGCAACAGCCGGACUACCUGUAGAAUAGAGUUGCAUAUGACAUAAAGCAUGAGAAAAACAAUUAGAUUCAACAGUGGAAAAAAAGAAAAUAAUAAAAGAAACAAACCAAAAACAAACAAAAUUAAUAGUAAUUACGAUUUUAACAUUCCUUUGGACUAUCUACAUGAUCCAUGCAAAUGCCUAAAUGAUGAUAAGAUUUGUUGUUUAUUUGUACCAGACUCAUAUUUAAAAUGCAGCCAAUAGACAUCCGGCGUUUACACCAUGUGAUUUUUCAGUA